CAAUAAAAAAAUUGUUUUUCGUUCUUCAAUAUAUGUUAAAUAAACCCUCUGAAAAGAAAUUCUAUUCCACUUGUCACACUCCCAAAAUAAAUUGUCAAAUUUAGGUCUUUUUUUCGGCCUCUAGAGUGGUUUUACCCCUUAAUGAGUUUCUGAAACACACUACUUAACGCACAGUAAAAUUAUUUAUGCCAUAUAAUUUGUUCAUUUGAACGAAAUACGUUUUAUGGAAACCUUUUUUUGUUUCGAUAGCUUCAUUCCCUCAUGAGAUAUUUAAUCAAUCCAAUUUAAACGAAACACUCUGUACAUGUCGUCGUGUGCGAAAAGAAAUGGUCGGUUUAAGUUCGUGGCGCCAUUGUGGCCCGCGCGAUUCCGUAGUGGAAGGGGAAGGUGGCGCGUCGCACACAGGUAAUACAGAUCGGGAUUUCCGGCAUUUAAAAACCGACCGCCGAGGAGAAGAGCCGGUACCACAGACAUAAGAUGCACAUAUAUUCCCGCGCGAUAGCAGUCUAAACAGAGCUGAUGUCAGCAGUGUAUCUGCGACCGAGGGAGCGGUGGGAUAUGCAACCACUACCAGUCGGUGAACUGUUUUGUUAGUUUAUAAUAUAGCACGGUAAUAACCAUAGAAACCGUUCCACCUUCCAAGAAUGCAAUUUACCAAACAUUAUGUGGAAUGCGUUACAAAUGUGACAGCUGCAGCAAAUAGUUUCGUUAUAAUAAAUUAUGUUUUCGUUCAGGGGGCACGACACAAAAAUUGUUACACAAAUCGAUAUUUUUUUGUGCCAUUUCACGAAAGAGUCGUUACAGUGUUAUGCUCCCUUAACACGUUGAUCGCCACGUCACCCAUAUGUGGGUGACAGUGCUUUUCACUGAAGAACUAAAAACAUUAAUUCUGAAAGUUAAGCUUCACAGGAAAUGAAUUUAAAUGAAAUUCGUGUAUCUUGAUGAAGUUACAAAAAUGAAUACCACCACGGAUGUUUGAUUAUGUAGUCUCCAAUAGUCUGAAUAAUAUUUAAUCCUAGCAGAAAUUU